rnacentral:rRNA from 1 species
AUGCUCCGCCUCCGAAAGUGCGUCAUUUCCCGUCUCCUCUCUUCCCCAUCCACCUCCACCUAUGCCAUCUUCCCACUCUGUCGUCUCCUCUCCGCCGCCACGCCCCACAUUUCCCCAUAUCCCAGUGGCUUUACCAUGGAGGAGUACCUCGUCGACACCUGCGGCCUCACCCGGCUCCAAGCCCUCAAGGCCUCCAAGAAGCUCUCCCACCUUAAGUCCCCCACCAAGCCCGACGCUGUCCUCGCCUUCCUCGCCGGCCUCGGCCUCUCCGGCGCCGAUGCCGCCGCCGUCGUCGCCAAAGACCCGCGGUUCCUCUGCGCCAAAGUGGACAAAUCCCUGGUCCCCGUCGUCGCCGGGCUUGCCGGCCUUGGUCUCCUGCGUCCUAAGAUCGCCCGCCUAGUCUCGGUUGUCCACUGCUACUUCCGAACCAGGCCCAUCGUCUCCAAGACGCACUACUACCUGCCCCUCUUAGGCUCCUUCGACAACUUCCUCCGGGCGCUCCAGCGCUCGUCCUGCCUACUCUCAUCGGACCUUGGCAAGGUGAUCAAGCCCAAUGUCAUGUUCCUGCGGGAGUGCGGCCUAAAUGACUGCGAUAUUGUCAAGGUGUGUAUCCCUGUGCCGAGGAUGCUGACCACCAACCCAGAGCGUGUCCGCGCGAUGGUGGCAUCUGCUGAAAGAUUAGGCGUGCCUCGUGGCGCUGGGAUGUUCAGGCCAGCGCUACAGGCUGUCGCGUUUCUCAACGAGGAGAAGAUUGCCGCCAAAGUGGACUAA